CACAUUCGGCUGUCAUAGGAUCCUGAAUCACUGAGUCGUUUGCCUUCAGAAAGCCCCUGGUAGUAGUGCCUUGUAGAGACUCAGGGAGGAGCUGCUUACAUCUGUAUCACGUCUUUAUUGAGUGCCCCAUUCUAUACUAAGGUAUACAUGGAGGCAGAAUACCGUAUGAAGAAGAAGAAGAAGAAAAAGAAGAAGAAGAAGAAGAAGAAGAAGAAGAAGAAGAAGAAGAAGAAGAAGAAGAAGAAGAAGAAGAAGAAGAAGAAGAAGAAGCAGCAGCAGCAGCAGCAGCAGCAGCAGCAGCAGCUGAGGAUGAAAGAAAACUUAGUAUAAAGGAACACAGAAAGUCUUGAGACCCCUGGAGAAAGUCCUUGACCUAAAGAGUCCCGGGAGAGGAGUCAGAGCAGAGGCUUCUGGAUGGAACCAGGUCUGCAGGAACUUCUUAUUGUCCUUCUUCCAUAUGGCAUUCAAAUGCCACUUGUCCACUGAUACUGCUGAUGUCUUCUAAUCCUUCUCGGCUUGCAAUUCAAUGAGUAAAGUCUAAGACAUACCCUUGCCUCUGUCCCCACCCUCAUCUUCAAGCUCCUUUUGAUUUCACUCCAGAAUCAUCAGUGUGCUGGCUAGUUUUAUGUCAAUUUAACACACUCUAGAGUCAUUUGAGAAGAGGGAACCACAGUUGAGAAAAAUGCGUCCAUCAGAUUGGCCUGUAGGGUGAGUCUCUGAGGCUAGUUCACUGGGCGGUGCUGCUGCUGCUGGUCUUGGGUGAAGGGUUAAUGACCUAAAAGCCCCAGGAGAGCUGAGAAACUCCGGAUGGCACCAGGGAUACACUGCUAACAUCUGCAGGCAGUUAGGAGCCGGGAUUCUCCUGACAAGAAAUUCACUAAUGGAUAAGAACCUCCGUUGGUAUUUACAGUGCUGAGACUUGAGGAAACAGAUCUGCAGAUGGAAUUUUCCAACCACAAACGCUUCCUUUUCUGUCCUAUAAAACCCUCAAACCCCCUGUGCCUUGGCUGACAGCCUUUUUCUGAGAGACCACUGCCCUUCAGAGUCCUAACAAAGGACCACAUGCUUCCAUCUGCGUCUGAGGAGGUCCUUCUCUCUUCUUUUCAUGCAACUUUGAUUAAUCUCCAUGUAACAAUGGAUGAUAAAAGAAAGCAGACUCAGCAAGCCAGUAAGCAACACUCUUCCAUGGCCUCAGCAUCAGCUCCUGCCUCUAGGUUCCUGCCUUGCCUUGAGUGCCUGCCCUGACUUCCUUUGAUAAUGGACCAUGAUAUGGAAGUGUGAGCCAAUAAAACCUUCCCCAACCAAA
rnacentral:lncRNA from 1 species